AUCCGUGCCGUAAACUCGAACAUCCAACUCGCCUCGAACAAAAGCACGAGUGAGAGAGAGAGAGAGAGAGAGAAAAAAUUCCCCAGUCCGUUGGAAAAGUUUCGAGAAUACGCCCUCUGUCGGCCGUUGAAGGAAGCUAAAGCAAUCGAGGUGUCUCUAAACAAACUUGAGAAGACGUCGUCGUUUCCAACUCUAUUUUAAGCUGAGAAUGCACAAGCCGAGGGAAGGGGGAGUUGUGCCAAUAUUUGCCACGGACUGAAAUGACAUAUCGUUGUUGUCGGAACGCCCCAUUAAACAUUGCAUCCACCCCCACAGACUUUCACGGACUGUCGCGCGGCCGCGUUGCAUUGUAACGCAAAUAAUGUUAAACCCGGUAUCAUAGAAAUCAUCGUUGAAAUGGCCGUCCGUUUAUUUCAACCAGGGAGGAUCGUGUUGGAACAUUGUAAUCAGCGAUUUGAAGAAGGAAAAGAGUGAUGAAUAUUUCGUGGAGCGGUUUGGAAACGAGCGACGACGCACCGUGUGCGUCCGUGUGAUUUCUAUGCAUUUGUCAAUCUUGUAAUUCGAAACGUAGAAACUCUUGGGCACGGGAGGAAAUCAAUUUCACAUGACAAAUUGUUAAUGCAUUUUAAUCGUGUUUUCGUGAUUCAAUGAAGAAUCCCACAAUAUAUUGCGUCGCGUUAAUGCACCGGUUGUUACAAUAUUACCGCGACGAUCAAAUUUUAGAUCACAAUGCUCGAACUAAUGCAUCGCUGAAAGCCUUUCGAUGAGGAAUAACGAAUCCAACGCGCAGAAAUUGUUACUUCACACUGAUGAAUCCUACCGCUGUUCAUUUUCUGCAAUAGCUUAAGGAAGACUUGAUCGAUAGCAAAGAAAUGCAAAUUUAGUAUCGAGAUUAAAAAUUUUUGUAAAAA